GGCCCUAUCGUCUAUCGGUAGGACACCAGGUUCUCAUCCUGGUAAGAGGGGUUCGACUCCCCUUAGGGCUA
rnacentral:tRNA from 7 species